rnacentral:sRNA from 1 species
UAUUCAUCCCAUGCGGGAAGGAUGAGAAGCUUCGACUAAGGUUCGAUUCGAGCGAAGCGAGAAAGCGUUGCCGCAGGCAACGACCCGAAGGGCGAGGAGCAACGCGCCGAGUAAUCCUUCCCCCACCACCA